rnacentral:rRNA from 1 species
UACGGGGGGGGCAAGCGUUGUUCGGAAUUACUGGGCGUAAAGGGCUCGUAGGAGGCCAACUAAGUCAGACGUGAAAUCCCUCGGCUUAACCGGGGAACUGCGUCUGAUACUGGAUGGCUUGAGAUUGGGAGAGGGAUGCGGAAUUCCAGGUGUAGCGGUGAAAUGCGUAGAUAUGUGGAGGAACACCAGUGGCGAAGGCGGCUCUUUGGUCUGUAACUGACGCUGAGGCGCGAAAGCGUGGGGAGCAAACAGG